rnacentral:rRNA from 1 species
AUUGAACGUUUGCGGCAUGCCUUACACAUGCAAGUCGAACGGUAACGGGUCCUUCGGGAUGCCGACGAGUGGCGAACGGGUGAGUAAUAUAUCGGAACGUGCCCAGUAGUGGGGGAUAACUGCUCGAAAGAGCAGCUAAUACCGCAUACGACCUGAGGGUGAAAGGGGGGGAUCGCAAGACCUCUCGCUAUUGGAGCGGCCGAUAUCAGAUUAGCUAGUUGGUGGGGUAAAGGCCUACCAAGGCAACGAUCUGUAGUUGGUCUGAGAGGACGACCAGCCACACUGGGACUGAGACACGGCCCAGACUCCUACGGGAGGCAGCAGUGGGGAAUUUUGGACAAUGGGCGCAAGCCUGAUCCAGCAAUGCCGCGUGCAGGAAGAAGGCCUUCGGGUUGUAAACUGCUUUUGUCAGGGAAGAAAUCUUCUGGGCUAAUACCCCGGGAGGAUGACGGUACCUGAAGAAUAAGCACCGGCUAACUACGUGCCAGCAGCCGCGGUAAUACGUAGGGUGCGAGCGUUAAUCGGAAUUACUGGGCGUAAAGCGUGCGCAGGCGGCUUUGCAAGACAGAUGUGAAAUCCCCGGGCUCACCCUGGGAACUGCAUUUGUGACUGCAAGGCUAGAGUACGGCAGAGGGGGAUGGAAUUCCGCGUGUAGCAGUGAAAUGCGUAGAUAUGCGGAGGAACACCAAUGGCGAAGGCAAUCCCCUGGGCCUGUACUGACGCUCAUGCACGAAAGCGUGGGGAGCAAACAGGAUUAGAUACCCUGGUAGUCCACGCCCUAAACGAUGUCAACUGGUUGUUGGACGGCUUGCUGUUCAGUAACGAAGCUAACGCGUGAAGUUGACCGCCUGGGGAGUACGGCCGCGGGGUUAAAACUCAAAGGAAUUGACGGGGACCCGCACAAGCGGUGGAUGAUGUGGUUUAAUUCGAUGCAACGCGAAAAACCUUACCUACCCUUGACAUGUCAAGAAUUCUGCAGAGAUGUGGAAGUGCUCGAAAGAUAACUUGAACACAGGUGCUGCAUGGCCGUCGUCAGCUCGUGUCGUGAGAUGUUGGGUUAAGUCCCGCAACGAGCGCAACCCUUGUCAUUAGUUGCUACGCAAGAGCACUCUAAUGACACUGCCGGGGUCAAACCGGAGGAAGGUGGGGAUGACGUCAAGUCCUCAUGGCCCUUAUGGGUAGGGCUACACACGUCAUACAAUGGCCGGUACAGAGGGCUGCCAACCCCUGAGGGGGAGCCAAUCUCCGAAAACCGGUCUCAGUUCGGAUUGGGGUUUGCAACUCGACCUCAUGAAGUUGGAGUCGGUAGUAAUCGCAGAUCAGCAACGCUGCGGUGAAUACGUUCCCGGGGCU